ACUCCUACGGGAGGCAGCAGUAGGGAAUCUUCCACAAUGGACGAAAGUACUGAUGGAGCAACGCCGCGUGAGUGAAGAAGGGUUUCGGCUCGUAAAACUACUGUUGUUAAAGAAGAACAUAUCUGAGAGUAACUGUUCAGGUAUUGACGGUAUUUAACCAGAAAGCCACGGCUAACUACGUGCCAGCAGCCGCGGUAAUACGUAGGUGGCAAGCGUUGUCCGGAUUUAUUGGGCGUAAAGCGAGCGCAGGCGGUUUUUAAGUCUGAUGUGAAAGCCUUCGGCUCAACCGAAGAAGUGCAUCGGAAACUGGGAAACUUGAGUGCAGAAGAGGACAGUGGAACUCCAUGUGUAGCGGUGAAAUGCGUAGAUAUAUGGAAGAACACCAGUGGCGAAGGCGGCUGUCUGGUCUGUAACUGACGCUGAGGCUCGAAAGUAUGGGUAGCAAACAGGAUUAGAUACCCUGGUAGGAUAGCG
rnacentral:rRNA from 1 species